UACGGGGGGGGUAAGCGUUGUUCGGAAUUACUGGGCGUAAAGGGCUCGUAGGCGGCCAACUAAGUCAGACGUGAAAUCCCUCAGCUUAACUGGGGAACUGCGUCUGAUACUGGAUGGCUUGGAUCCGGGAGAGGGAUGCGGAAUUCCAGGUGUAGCGGUGAAAUGCGUAGAUAUCGGGAGGAAUACCAGUGGCGAAGGCGGCUUUCUGGGUUACCACUGACGCUGAGGAGCGAAAGCGUGGGGAGCGAACGGG
rnacentral:rRNA from 1 species